rnacentral:rRNA from 1 species
UAGGGAAUCUUCGGCAAUGGACGAAAGUCUUACCGAGCAACGCCGCGUGAGUGAAGAAGGUUUUCGUAUCGUAAAACUCUGUUGGUAGAGAAGAACGUUGGUGAGUGUGGAAAGCUCAUCAAGUGACGGUAACUAUCUAGAAAGGGACGGCUAACUACGUGCCAGCAGCCGCGGUAAUACGUAGGUCCCGAGCGUUGUCCGGAUUUAUUGGGCGUAAAGCGAGCGCAGGUGGUUUAUUAAGUCUGGUGUAAAAGGCAGUGGCUCAACCAUUGUAUGCAUUGGAAACUGGUAGAAUUGAGUGCAGGAGAGGGCAGUGGAAUUCCAUGUGUAGCGAUGAAAUGCGUAGAUAUAAAGGGGGACACCAGUGGAGAAAGCAGCUCUCAGGCCUGUAACUGACCGUGAGGCUAGAAAGAGUGGGGAGCAAACA